UGGCAUAUAGUUCAAUGGUAGAACACCUGACUGUUAAUCAGGAUGUCGCAGGUUCGAUACCUGCUAUGCCAG
rnacentral:tRNA from 1 species